rnacentral:rRNA from 1 species
AGCGAACGCUGGCGGCAGGCCUAACACAUGCAAGUCGAACGAACCCUUCGGGGUUAGUGGCGGACGGGUGAGUAACACGUGGGAACGUGCCUUUAGGUUCGGAAUAACUCAGGGAAACUUGCGCUAAUACCGAAUGUGCCCUUCGGGGGAAAGAUUUAUCGCCUUUAGAGCGGCCCGCGUCUGAUUAGCUAGUUGGUGAGGUAAUGGCUCACCAAGGCUACGAUCAGUAGCUGGUCUGAGAGGAUGACCAGCCACAUUGGGACUGAGACACGGCCCAAACGCCUACGGGAGGCAGCAGUGGGGAAUCUUGCGCAAUGGGCGAAAGCCUGACGCAGCCAUGCCGCGUGGAUGAUGAAGGUCUUAGGAUUGUAAAAUCCUUUCACCGGGGACGAUAAUGACGGUACCCGGAGAAGAAGCCCCGGCUAACUUCGUGCCAGCCGCCGCCGUAACAC